UACGUAGGGGGCUAGCGUUGUCCGGAAUCAUUGGGCGUAAAGCGCGUGUAGGCGGUUCGGUAAGUCCGCUGUGAAAGUCGGGGGCUCAACCCUCGAAUGCCGGUGGAUACUGUCGGGCUAGAGUGCGGAAGAGGCGAGUGGAAUUCCUGGGUGUAGCGGUGAAAUGCGCAGAUAUCAGGAGGAACACCGGUGGCGAAGGCGGGUCUCUGGGCCGAUAUUGACGCUGGAGGAGCGAAAGCGUGGGGAGCGAACAGG
rnacentral:rRNA from 1 species